GACCUACUGCCACUAGCAGUUGGUGCACCUCCUGUUAGUUGCUAGCUGUUACCUAGCGUGCUUGAUGCUACCGCUACAAAGAAGGUAAUAAAAAAUAUUCACUGCCACUAUUGUCUUGCAUGUUCAGAAAUUGGGUCUGAUGUUGUGUGGGCAUGCAGCAUAAUUCUAAGGAAAUAAAUAUAGAAGUUCAUAUAUGAAGCAUAAUUAUGCUGCAUACUCUGUAGUUAACCAUUGCUAAAAAUCAUCUUAGAAAUUAUCUCUUUUAGAUAGUUCACCUUUUCUAAAAACUGUAGUUCUCUGGUUAGAAAAAACAAUAGUUAUCUCUGCAAAAAAAAAUGACAAUCUUUUGGUAAACUCUCAAUCUCUUCUCAGUCUUAGUGUAUGCUCGCUGGCGAUGCGUCCAGCAUGCUUGCGGUGAUAUCGCCAUAGUGGCCACCACUAAUGGCAUUGGCGGCUAGCAUGCUCGCACAAAAAAUAGCUAGCUAGGUGUUCAGGAUCGUCUAUUUUAUCCCCUGAAACAGGGUGCUCAGGACGUCUAUUUUAUUUUCUGAAACACUAGCUAGGUGUUCCCAGUUCAGUAUGUGGACUAUCAUCAACUCUAGUUGCUACUUCUUGUCACCAAUGAAUUGCGCAAGUUCAAAGAGUGUCGCAUGACAAAUUCAAAAGGUGUUGUAUGGCAAGUUCAGAAUUUUGGUUUCGUGAAAAGUGUGAUUUUUGGACAAUAUUUUGUGUGAUUCAUUUGUUCAUCUUCAGAACUUGGAGAUGUUAAGUCUACUUUUUCCUAUGAUGAAGGUACACAUGAGCUUCAUCUGCAAUGGUUAUCCGCCCUAGUGCUUCAAAGAUGCUUAUUUUGUUUCCCCUGUGACGCAACAAGGAUGAUAGUGACGACACUUACAAAAUUGUUUUCUGUGUUGCUAUGUUGUCAGUCCAAAGUGUGGUGAAGAUGUAGUCCUGGGUGUGUAGAUGAUGUGGUGUGUGUCUGGUUGUGUGUGUGUGCAUGAUGAUUGGUGGCUGUUGUGUGUGUGUGUGCAGGGUACCCGGCGACAGCGGAUAGGCGGCAAGUGUACUGGUGAGCAGCUACCCAGAAAAUACUGGAACAAGGCUUCCAAAGUAAGCUCCUUGCUUCUUGCUUCUCUUUAAAUCUCUUGAGCUUUACAUGGUAUGUUCAAGACAAGUCCUCUAGUGGUUGUAUUGUAUGACGUUCGUUUAAAUGAUCGGCUAUACUGACACCGCAUACGUGGAAACUUAAAAGAAAAUAAAAGGUGUUAAUGGAGAAAUAUAAGAACAAAAACAGUUAUGUGUAGCCAUCUAGCAACAUGGUGAUCAGACAAAAUCCCGACAGCCACCCUCCAUGGUGAUCAAUUCCAUGUGCUGAUGGGUAUGCUUGCCUAGCACAAAAUUCAUAAACUGUCAAUUUAUUUUGAAUUGAACUGAUGCUACUCUUGAUUCAGACCUGAGGGGAGAAGAUAGAACUAGAAUGAUUCAGUUCAGCAUUGGCACCCCUGUAAACCAAACAGUGAAGAACACACCAAAUGUACUUUUGCUCUUGUUCUUUCUAUCUCCUGAAUUCCACACGUUCUGUGAUGAGCAUGCUUGGUACUAUAUAGAUAAUGUUGUAGUAGUUCUAACACAAUAUAUUAGAAGAAUUAAUUGACAAAAAAGGUGUCAGUUCAUAUAUGUAUGCAUCAGCUGUUCUGAUACUACUUCAGUAACCAGAAAAACACAAAAUUUCAACUAUACUUAUGCAAAAUAGUUCAAUAUUUUUUUCUAUGAUAGUCAAGAAAAAAAGAAAAAAAAGAGGUUCAUCGUGUGAUGAACAAUAGUCCCAACAACUGUGCUAGAGAUGCAAAAAAUUGAUAGCAUAGCCGAUGCUAUUUUUCAUCCAAUUUCUGAAGAAAACUGAAGUUGAUCAGAGUAACUGAAGAAUAAUCUGUUAGUUCUCGAGUAUGUGUAAUGCUACCAUUUUACUGUGCAUUUGAUUCCAUCGUGAUGGAUGUAUUACAAAGAUAUGGCUGUAUUAUUAUGUUGAAUAAAAAUGCUAUUUUGCUGCAACAUUUUCUAUCAGCUCCUCUCAAGUUAUACAUGUAUGUGAGGAUCCUUCUAUGUAGUAAGUUCAUAGUCGAGAAGUCAAGGACUUCGUAAAGAACGUGAACACCAAAAAACCAUUAAAAAACCUAAACCAUAUGUUAGGGGAGUUCAAGAAGUUCAUGGCUAGCUGUCCGUGUUCUGUAUUCUUAUCAGUUCACAAUCGAGAAGACAUGUAUUCUUAUCAGUUUGUUUAUCUAGCCCGUCGUGCUGUGUAUUCUGGUCAGUUCGUGUGUGUAUGUGUUGCCCUCGCAGUGUAUGAGAGGCCGCCCAUGAGGAAGUCGUCGAUCUGGUCGAGGCAUGCUGCUAUUCUCUAUAUCCGGUAGCACAAACAUUUAAAAGUUCAAACACCAAACCCUGGUAAGUUCUUCUUAACAAAAACUCAUCCCUCAUAUUUGUUCCUUUUUCGUAGGUUGAAGUUAAAAAAGAUGGAGAUGUGUGUAUGUAUACAUGUGUUUUGGAGAGAGAAGAACUUAUCUGGUGGUGUGUGUGUGUGUGUGCUGCAUCCUCGUCCAGCAACUCUAAUCCACACUCUCUGUACAACUUCUCUAUGAUCUCAUGUUCACAAAUCUUGUAGUACAUUUUUUUAAUAAAAAUCUUCUAGUACUAUGUAAAGAAAGCGUGGCCAACACAUACUUUAGGUGUCGCACUGCACUGUUGAUGGUGGCCUUCCUUUGUGGCGCUACUACUUUGCCACCUAGAGUAGUACUGCUACUACUUAUCAUGUUGCUAAAACCUAGCAAAAGUACAUGUAUUUGAUUAACGGUUCUGUAGGAAGAAAAAUUUCACCAAUAUAUAAUCUCUAGGUUUAGUAAAGCAAUCUUUUUGUUUAGUAGCUGAUACUGCUCAAGUUUAUUUCUUGUUGUACAUAUGAUGUCCAAUUUCUUCUUUCAGUUCGAUUCAAUUUAUAAAUUUCAUUCAGUUCAAUUGUUAUUGUAGUUGGAGUUCAGUUUCUUUUUUGACUUCAAUUCAGGCAUGUGUUUGAACUUGCAACCUCACUGCCUUAAGCUACGAUUUCAAAUAGAAGUGUACUAAAAUGCAGGUACUAUGUGGUGGCAUUGCUACAGUUCUCUUGUUACGUUCUCUUCGCCCAAAUUCGGAGGAUCAAGAAAAUAAAAUAUCAUCGUUUUGACAUGCACUACUCAAAAGAAGGCAUUUCUAUUGAAAAAUUGUUUCGCUUGACAUGUACUUGCCAACAAUUAUGUAUAAUAAAUCAUGGCAUUGUAUGUAGAAAAAGAUAUAUUGUGUGUUCUGCUGUUGUAUUGAGUUGCUAUCUAUUGCUAAUUGUAUGAUGUUGCUAUUGCUCUCCGUGUCAUGUUAUGCAAGUUGACACCGAGUACACAUUGGAUGAUAUACUUCCGGUUUUUAUUUUCGC
rnacentral:lncRNA from 1 species